rnacentral:rRNA from 1 species
UACAGAGGGUGCGAGCGUUAAUCGGAAUUACUGGGCGUAAAGCGUGCGUAGACGGUAGCGUAAGUCUGAUGUGAAAGCCCUGGGCUCAACCUGGGAAUGGCAUUGGAUACUGGCGGGCUAGAGUGCGGUAGAGGGCAGUGGAAUUCCCGGUGUAGCAGUGAAAUGCGUAGAGAUCGGGAGGAACAUCUGUGGCGAAGGCGACUGCCUGGACCAGCACUGACACUGAGGCACGAAAGCGUGGGGAGCAAACAGG